CCACACCUAAAAAACUUUCCACGUGAACUGUCUGUAUUUGUUGUGUGUCUGUGCGUGCUGGCGUGCGUUUUGCGUGCCGGCGUGUGCGGACUGAACGAAGGUCGUGUCGCUUUGCGGCUGCGGCUGACUUCUUUUUCAAACCCCAUACKUGAAUGACUGAUUAUACUGUGAGAACGAAAGUUCUUGCUUUGAACUAGAUAACAACUUUCAGCAGUGGAUGUCUAGGCUCGCACAUCGAUGAAGAACGCUGCGAACUGCGAUACGUAAUGCGAAUUGCAGAAUUCAGUGAGUCAUCGAAAUUUUGAACGCAUAUUGCACUUCCGGGUUAUGCCUGGAAGUAUGUCUGUAUCAGUGUCCGUAAUUCAACCUUGUCUUUCUUCCUUCCGUGUAGUCGGUGGCGGAGAGUUACAGAUGUGAAGUGUCUCGCUGUUGCUGGUGGUGCAUUUUUGUGCCGCCGAGUUUGCGAGUCCUUUUAAAUGGACACGACUUUUCUCUUUUUUGUAUCUGCUUGGUGGUGUGCUCGAGCGCGGUGGUUUUCGGAUCGCUCGCGGCUGUCGGCGACUUCGGUGAAUGCAUGAUGGAGUGGACCUCGAUUCGCGGUAUGUUGGGCUUCGGCUGGACAAUGUUGCUUAUUGUGUGUUUGUUCCGCGUUCGCCUUGAGGUGUACUGGUGGCUGUGGGAUGUAUUUGGUUGCUGCUGUUGGUAGUGCGUGCUUCCUGUUGGUGGGUGCAGCUGCUUUUCGUAUUUUGUACGUGGGAGCAGAAGAGGAGUUUCAAUUUGGGAAGUUUUGUGUACUCUGGCGUUGCUUCGCUGUGUGUAUAUCUCAAUUGGACCUGAUAUCAGACAAGACUACC
rnacentral:rRNA from 1 species